GGGCGUUUAGCUCAGUGGGUUAGAGCGCUUCCCUUACAAGGAAGAUGUCGGGGGUUCGAGUCCCUCAACGCCCA
rnacentral:tRNA from 1 species